UCUCUCCUCUCCCAGCCGCGUUGCUCUCUCUCUCCCCCGACCUCUCUCUUUCUCGUCUUCCCACUGCCAGUGCCGAAAACCACCAUUUCCGGCCACCACCUCAUGUCACCGCCACCACCAAUCGAACCUACAUCCAAAUCCGACCCAAGCCCGAGCCUCAGCACCCACAUGCAUCGCCGGCAGCCUCUACACUCGCCAACCCAUGACCGCGACGCCACUGUUCCUCGAGCCUCGCCGGUUUCCGGCGAUUUCCUCGCCCUUCCGCCACCGUCAUUCUACUCAGCAAGCAAAGCGGAGCAAAACCCAGAGACUCCUCUUCGCCGCCGACGCCUGACGACGACGUACGAGCUUCGCCAGAACCCGUAGCUCUGCAUGCCUACAUUCUCCUGUCUCCAGCUCGAAUCGAGCUAAACCACCUCCGUAGUUGGAAUCAGCACCUCCCCUUUUACCAUAACCCCAUAGCUCCGACUUCUGUCUCCGACCAGAGCCGCCGCACGCGCGGGAGCUACUCAGCGCCGCCGCAAGGGUACCGGCCUAUUCUUUUGUUGGGUAAGAUGGAUUUCGUCACCCUUUUUCUUGGUUGAGGUCUCUGCUUUGAUUUUGGAUUAAACCCUAACUCGAUUGUUUAAUUUGGGAUUGUGUGAGGUUUGUGGAAUCUGAGUUUUUGAAGAAUUUGGAGAAGGUAAGUGUUGGGUCAGUUUCCAUUGAGAAUGGACUGAGGUAUUUCAAAACGGUUGUCGAUGGUGGAAUGCAGCUACAAUGGGUUUCUACUUUGGAAAGGAGAAUGGACUCGAGCACGUGCACAUGGAUUUGGACAAAUGAUUGAAAGUCGGGAAAGAACCCGAAUGUGGACGAGCACUCCAUAUCCAGUGUGCAGGUUUCGAGCAUGUGGUCGGGAAGCGUACAGGGGAGGCACAUGGCCCGGCUUGGUGCAUUUCUCUUUAGUUUUAUCAAAAGGAAGGUUUUGGUCCCUUAUCGGAUUUUGAAGUAACUUAGUUAUUUAUUUUCUUACUAAUUUAUUUGUUUAUUUGUUUUCUAUUCGCUCAUCUACAAAAUUUCGAGAGACCCGUAACCCUGGGGCGCGUCUCUCAUACUUGUUUUUACUUCGUGAUUCGUUAUUUUCCAAAUUGGGCUCCUAUUGUAAGCCCAAAUCUUUUAGCUCA